rnacentral:rRNA from 1 species
AGAGUUUGAUCCUGGCUCAGAUUGAACGCUGGCGGAAUGCUUUACACAUGCAAGUCGAACGGCAGCACGGGAGCUUGCUCCUGGUGGCGAGUGGCGAACGGGUGAGUAAUACGUAGGAACAUGUCCAGUAAUGGGGGAUAACGCAGCGAARGCUGUGCUAAUACCGCAUACGUCCCAAGGGAGAAAGCGGGGGAUUCGCAAGAACCUCGCGUUAUUGGAGUGGCCUACGGCUGAUUAGCUAGUUGGUGAGGUAAAGGCUCACCAAGGCGACGAUCAGUAGCUGGUCUGAGAGGAUGAUCAGCCACACUGGAACUGAGACACGGUCCAGACUCCUACGGGAGGCAGCAGUGGGGAAUUUUGGACAAUGGGGGAAACCCUGAUCCAGCCAUUCCGCGUGAGUGAAGAAGGCCUUCGGGUUGUAAAGCUCUUUCAGGAGGGAAGAAACGGUUACGGAUAAUACCUGUGACUAAUGACGGUACCUUCAGAAGAAGCACCGGCUAACUACGUGCCAGCAGCCGCGGUAAUAC